UUGAACGCUGGCGGCAUGCCUUACCCAUGCCCGUCGAACGGUAACGGGCCUUCGGGUGCCGACGAGUGGCGAACGGGUGAGUAAUACAUCGGAACGUGCCCGAUCGUGGGGGAUAACGAGGCGAAAGCUUUGCUAAUACCGCAUACGAUCUACGGAUGAAAGCAGGGGACCGCAAGGCCUUGCGCGGACGGAGCGGCCGAUGGCAGAUUAGGUAGUUGGUGGGAUAAAAGCUUACCAAGCCGACGAUCUGUAGCUGGUCUGAGAGGAUGAUCAGCCACACUGGGACUGAGACACGGCCCAGACUCCUACGGGAGGCAGCAGUGGGGAAUUUUGGACAAUGGGCGCAAGCCUGAUCCAGCCAUGCCGCGUGCAGGAUGAAGGCCUUCGGGUUGUAAACUGCUUUUGUACGGAACGAAAAGCCUUCUUUUAAUACAGGAGGGUCAUGACGGUACCGUAAGAAUAAGCACCGGCUAACUACGUG
rnacentral:rRNA from 1 species